rnacentral:tRNA from 1 species
GGGGUUGUGGCUCCGGGGUAGAGCACUUGCCUACCAUGUGUGAGGCCUGAGUUCGAUUCUCAGCACCA